rnacentral:rRNA from 1 species
UCUUGGUCAUUUAGAGGAAGUAAAAGUCGUAACAAGGUCUCCGUUGGUGAACCAGCGGAGGGAUCAUUACCGAGUACUAUAACUCAUAACCCUUUGUGAACCUUUAUACCUGUUGCUUCGGCGGCGCGCCCCCCGGGGCGUGCCCGCCGGUAUCAUCAGAAUCUCUGUUUGAACCCGACGAUACAUCUGAGUGUUCUAAGCGAACUGUUAAAACUUUCAACAACGGAUCUCUUGGCUCCAGCAUCGAUGAAGAACGCAGCGAAACGCGAUAAGUAAUGUGAAUUGCAGAAUUCAGUGAAUCAUCGAAUCUUUGAACGCACAUGGCGCCUUCCAGUAUCCUGGGAGGCAUGCCUGUCCGAGCGUCGUUUCAACCCUCGAGCCCCCGUGGCCCGGCGUUGGGGAUCUGCCCAGGCAGGCCCCGAAAACCAGUGGCGGACCCGUUACAGGCCCUUCCUUUGCGUAGUAAUACUGCCUCGCAUCGGGAGCCGGCGGGCUUCCAGCCUCUAAACCCCCAGCAAGUCCGCCCCGGCGGCACCAAGGUUGACCUCGGAUCAGGUAGGAAUACCCGCUGAACUUAAGCAUAUCAAUAAGCGGAGGAA